CCCAUGGCUCAGAUUGAACGCUGGCGGCAGGCCUAACACAUGCAAGUCGAGCGGAUGACAGGAGCUUGCUCCUGAAUUCAGCGGCGGACGGGUGAGUAAUGCCUAGGAAUCUGCCUGGUAGUGGGGGACAACGUUUCGAAAGGAACGCUAAUACCGCAUACGUCCUACGGGAGAAAGCAGGGGACCUUCGGGCCUUGCGCUAUCAGAUGAGCCUAGGUCGGAUUAGCUAGUUGGUGAGGUAAUGGCUCACCAAGGCGACGAUCCGUAACUGGUCUGAGAGGAUGAUCAGUCACACUGGAACUGAGACACGGUCCAGACUCCUACGGGAGGCAGCAGUGGGGAAUAUUGGACAAUGGGCGAAAGCCUGAUCCAGCCAUGCCGCGUGUGUGAAGAAGGUCUUCGGAUUGUAAAGCACUUUAAGUUGGGAGGAAGGGCAGUAACUUAAUACGUUGCUGUCUUGACGUUACCGACAGAAUAAGCACCGGCUAA
rnacentral:rRNA from 1 species